rnacentral:rRNA from 1 species
AUUGAACGCUGGCGGCAGGCUUAACACAUGCAAGUCGAGCGGGGUGAUGGUGCUUGCACUAUCACUUAGCGGCGGACGGGUGAGUAAUGCUUAGGAAUCUGCCUAUUAGUGGGGGACAACAUUUCGAAAGGAAUGCUAAUACCGCAUACGUCCUACGGGAGAAAGCAGGGGAUCUUCGGACCUUGCGCUAAUAGAUGAGCCUAAGUCGGAUUAGCUAGUUGGUGGGGUAAAGGCCUACCAAGGCGACGAUCUGUAGCGGGUCUGGGAGGAUGAUCCGCCACACUGGGAUCGUGAUACGGCCCACACUCCUCCGGGAGGCAGCAGUGCGCAAUAUUGGCCAAUGGUCGGAAGCCUGAUCCAGCCAUGCCGCGUCUGUGAAGAACGCCUUAUGGUUGUAAAGCACUUUAAGCGAGGAGGAGGCUACUUUAGUUAAUACCUAGAGAUAGUGGACGUUACUCGCAGAAUACGCACCGGCUAACUCUGUGCCAGCCGCCGCCGUAACAC